AUUGAACGCUGGCGGCAGGCCUAACACAUGCAAGUCGAACGAGUGGCGGACGGGUGAGUAAUGUCUGGGAAACUGCCUGAUGGAGGGGGAUAACUACUGGAAACGGUAGCUAAUACCGCAUACCAUCGGAUGUGCCCAGAUGGGAUUAGCUAGUAGGUGGGGUAAAGGCUCACCUGGGCGACGAUCCCUAGCUGUUCUGAGAGGAUGACCAGCAACACGGGAACUGAGACACGGUCCAGACGCCUACGGGAGGCAGCAGGGGGGAAUAUGGCACAAGGGGGGCAAGACUGAUGGAGCCAUGCCGUGUGUAUGAAGAGGGCCUUCGGGUUGUAAAUUACUUGCAGCGGGGAGGCGUUACCAGCAGAAGAAGCACCGCCUAACUCCGUGCAAGCCGCCGCGGUAAUU
rnacentral:rRNA from 1 species